rnacentral:rRNA from 1 species
UACGGAGGGGGCUAGCGUUGUUCGGAAUUAUUGGGCGUAAAGCGCGUGUAGGCGGCUUUGCAAGUCGGGUGUGAAAGCCCUCAGCUCAACUGAGGAAGUGCGCCCGAAACUGCAGAGCUUGAGUACCGGAGAGGAUGGCGGAAUUCCCCAAGUAGAGGUGAAAUUCGUAGAUAUGGGGAGGAACACCGGUGGCGAAGGCGGCCAUCUGGACGGAUACUGACGCUGAGACGCGAAAGCGUGGGUAGCAAACAGG